UUUGGGACUUAGCGGCGAAUGGGUGAGUAACACGUACUUAACAUGCCCUCUAGAUUGGAAUAACGAUUAGAAAUGAUCGCUAAUGCCGGAUACUUAUUUCCUUCGCAUGAAGGAUAUAUAAAAGGAGCGUUUGCUUCGCUAGAGGAUUGGGGUGCGUAACAUUAGCUAGUUGGUAGGGUAAUGGCCUACCAAGGCUAUGAUGUUUAGCGGGGUUGAGAGACUGAUCCGCCACACUGGGACUGAGAUACGGCCCAGACUCCUACGGGAGGCAGCAGUAGGGAAUUUUCCACAAUGGACGAAAGUCUGAUGGAGCGACACAGCGUGCAGGAUGACGGCCUUCGGGUUGUAAACUGCUGUUAUAAGGGAAGAAAAAAUAAAGUAGGAAAUGACUUUAUCUUGACGGUACCUUGUCAGAAAGCAACGGCUAACUAUGUGCCAGCAGCCGCGGUAAUACAUAGGUUGCAAGCGUUAUCCGGAAUUAUUGGGCGUAAAGCGUCUGUAGGUUGUUUGUUAAGUCUGACGUGAAAACUUGGGGCUCAACCCCAAAUUGCGUUGGAUACUGGCAAACUAGAGUUAUGAAGAGGUUAGCGGAAUUCCUUGUGAAGCGGUGAAAUGCGUAGAUAUAAGGAAGAACACCAACUUGGCGAAGGCAGCUAACUGGGCAUACACUGACACUGAGAGACGAAAGCGUGGGGAGCAAACAGGAUUAGAUACCCUGGUAGUCCACGCUGUAAACGAUGAUGAUUAGCUGAUGGGGAACUCAUCGGCACAGCUAACGCAUUAAAUCAUCCGCCUGAGUAGUAUGCUCGCAAGAGUGAAACUUAAAGGAAUUGACGGGGAUCCGCACAAGCGGUGGAGCAUGUGGUUUAAUUUGAAGAUACGCGUAGAACCUUACCCACUCUUGACAUCUUUCGCAAAGCUAUA
rnacentral:rRNA from 1 species